AGUCCACGCCGUAAACGAUGUCUACUUGGAGGUUGGUGUCUUGAACACUGGCUUUCGGAGCUAACGCGUUAGGUAGACCGCCUGGGGAGUACGGUCGCAAGAUUAAAACUCAAAUGAAUUGACGGGGGCCCGCACAAGCGGUGGAGCAUGUGGUUUAAUUCGAUGCAACGCGAAGAACCUUACCUACUCUUGACAUCCACGGAAUCCUGCAGAGAUGCGGGAGUGCCUUCGGGAACCGUGAGACAGGUGCUGCAUGGCUGUCGUCAGCUCGUGUUGUGAAAUGUUGGGUUAAGUCCCGCAACGAGCGCAACCCUUAUCCUUGUUUGCCAGCACUUCGGGUGGGAACUCCAGGGAGACUGCCGGUGAUAAACCGGAGGAAGGUGGGGACGACGUCAAGUCAUCAUGGCCCUUACGAGUAGGGCUACACACGUGCUACAAUGGCAUAUACAGAGGGCAGCAAGACCGCGAGGUGGAGCGAAUCCCACAAAGUAUGUCGUAGUCCGGAUUGGAGUCUGCAACUCGACUCCAUGAAGUCGGAAUCGCUAGUAAUCGUGGAUCAGAAUGCCACGGUGAAUACGUUCCCGGGCCUUGUACACACCGCCCGUCACACCAUGGGAGUGGGCUGCACCAGAAGUAGAUAGCUUAACAUCGGGAGGGCGUUUAC
rnacentral:rRNA from 1 species